ACAGCCUAUACAUGCUUACUCAGAAGUCAGUCUGCCUGUGUCCACUGACACUUAUUCCCAGAGAGAUGAACAUCUUGCAGUGGUCAUGCAGCUCACAAGAGACCAUGGGAACGAUGACCUUCUCACAACCCUUCUACACACACUGCUUUGUUGUAUCCUAUCUGUGCAACCACUCAAAGAGAUGGUGAAAGGUACAUGGAAGAUCCUGCUACAUCACAAC